rnacentral:lncRNA from 1 species
CCACAGUGUUGGAGAUAUGUGACAUAGACCUACACCGCCUUUUCAGCUUCAGCUGUAAGACCACAUGUAGAAGUGGAAGUUUAACAUGAGUUGACAUGAGCCGAUGAACCUGUAGACGAACAUGCUCUAGGUGAUGUAUAUGGCUGCUGUGCGUCAUUUUUGCUGGUUCAUAUUCUGGAGGGUUAUGUUAGUGUGUCCUAUGGGUUAAAAAAAUAAAUAAAUAAAAAAUACCAAGACGAUCUAUAAUACUUGGGCUAAGCUGUCUUUCAGCAUUCCCUUUGCUGGGUCUCUGUCAAAACAUUGACUAUAAUAUGAUGAAAUGUUUGGUACUCUUAUAUUGCUUCCAGAAGCAUUUAUUUUGUAAGAAUACAGAGCUGCUAUUCGAUGCCUGACAAUAGAGAAAUAUGCUUUCUGCCAGCACGGCCUAACUGAACUAUGGUAACCUACCAAUUGUACACCAACCAGAGUAGCUUUCUGUUAUUUCCAAUUAGCAGUAGAAGGCUGAUAGAGUAGCUGGCAUUUUUGAUAGAUUCAAUAAAAAAAAAACAAAAAAAAAAACUCUUAAGUAUUAUAAAUUUUGCAAUAACAGGGAUCAUGAUUCUGUCAAGAUAUAUGCAACACUCAGUUUGCUUAAGGCCAUUUUAACUUUAUUUUGAACAUCCAGUUCCUCAGUAUGCAAAUUUAUUACACAUAUACAGUACAAUUUUUCAUGUACGGUGAAAUUUUGGGGUCAGUAAGAUUGUAUUUUUAUGUUUUGAGAUAAAUAUAUUAUUCACACUAAAGCUGGAUUUAUUAGAUUAUCUCUCUCUCUCUCUCUCUCUCUCUCUCUCUCUCUCUCUCUCUCUCUCUCUCUCUCUCUCUCACAUUCUCAGUACAGGCUCCAUGUCAAGAUCAAAUAAAGUGUCAAAAGUCUCUCGGGUUGGAAGUGGCUGUGGACAUGGAAGACCUGCCUUCUCCUGGCACAGUAGAUCGAUAGUUCCCUUUCAAGGGAACUUUGAACUGCAUCCUCUUGGGGCCGCUAUGGGAAACACCUCUUCAGGAUCCGUGCCUGAAGCAUACAUUGGCAAAACACCAACUUGUUGGCUGGCUACAGCCUCUGAUGUCACUACCGGCGCGACUAUAAACAGGCACGGGGAGAACACAUCAUUCUCUUCUUCGUCGUCACUGACAGUUCUGUUUGAAGCGUGCAUCUGAGAACUGAAGAACUGGUAAGAGCGAUCUUUCUCUGUAUAUCAUGGUGACUACUAGCAAGCGUUUAGACGAUGUGUGCAUCCGUGUCUGAGUUAAUUGACACCUGAUGACACAUGCGAUCUUUGCGUCAUUUGUUUGGGUGAAGAGCAAGCACGUGAUGUGUUUGAGGAGGCAAUUGGCGUGCAUUGUGAGUGUUUUUUUUUUUUUUUUUUUUUAAGGAAAAAAAGCUCCACUCUCGUUCGUCUCUCUUCCGAAAAAAAAAGGACAAAAAAGGCAGUCAUCUGCUUCCCGCGGUUCAGGACCUGGCACUGCUGAGGCACGGAGGAGAAUGAGCUCGUGAGAAUACAGGUGGAUCUUUUUGAAUGUUUUAAAGAGGGAUUUUCCCUUUCGCGCUCGUAUUGGCGACGGACAAGAGAGAGUCUUGAGAGGAUGAUGUUAUAUCUUAAACACUAUCUAAUACUGAGGUUAGUGCUUUGCUGGGUUUUUACCCAGGGAAAGCAGGAGAUAUUUUAGGAUGGUGAAGAAGCUGAGGCUGAGCCUUCUCAAUUCUCCUGCCCUGCGUAUGUAGAGCUGUUAGAAGUUAUGGAUCGUGCCACGGCAAACUUGGACUUGCCAUGGUAAUGCGCUAACAAGAUGACAAUGUAAGGCCAUUAAAAAAAAAAAAAAACAGAUGAGUGUUUUCUUUCUGACCAUAGCUCAGGUGAGCCUUCAGACACGGGUCACAACGAGGUGUUCCCCAUAGCGGUCCCUAGAGGACGCAGUGUCUCGUUCCCUACUCAGGGAACCAUGGUUACAUUCGUAACCUGAGACGAUUAGUUUGCUAGCAUUCAAUCUUAGACUUUAAAAUCUUACCCCUUGCAAUCUUGAAUAUUUUGUUUCCUCCCUGAUAAGUAAUAAUUUAGCGUACAAUUUUAUCUAAAAUGAAUUUCUGUACUCUUAUUAGACAAUCCCCCUAAUAAGCAACCUGAGGUUAAAUGCCUUGCACAAAAGCUCAGUGGUGAUAUAGCUCAUGACUUACUUCUUACAAGAUUCUAAACCAGCAUCCUAGCUUCAUUCAUUUAAGCUUCAGACACAAUCUUUUUAUAACAAUACUUUUGCUCGUACAAUUUUCUCUUUGUCACUAAAGAAUACAAUUGGCAGGGCAAUAUACUAUUUCCAUCUGUUAAAUAUUUAUAGCUCAAUACAAUCAAGUGGUCAAGCAGGAGUGUGAAUCUUCAGAGUAAUUUAAUGUAGUACAAUUGUUUCCUCUAGCAGAGCAGUGGGUAAUUACAUUUUAAAGCUUUGACACCUAAAACCCUUCCAAUAUGAUUCAUUAUGAUACCUCUGCUCAGUUGAAUAAGGGAAACAGAAAAAGUAUGCUUUAUUUAACUGCAAAUAGAUUACAUAUUUAUACACACGUGGUCAGAAAUGUUGGUAUCUUUGGUAAAUAUGAUCAGAGAAGGCUGUGACAAUAAAUCUGCAUUGUUAAUCAUUUUGGUCCAUUAUUAAAAAAAAAAAGAAAAAUCAGAAAUUUCAUUAGAGCAUAAGAAUAAUGAAUAAAAUGUUUUUUUUUUCCCUCAAAUACAUGUUGGACACCAAUUACUGGUACCCAUAGAAUUUCCUAUGAGUAAAAUAUAUCUGAAACAUAUUCCUAUUCAUAUUCACAAUUUUGAGCUUCCUGUUUCACAGAAAUAUGAAUAGGAGUGAAAACAAAGGCCAAAUUCCAAAUUAAUCACCCAUCACAAUGAGAAAAACCAAAGAAAAUAUUUCUGAUGUGCGGCAACAGAUAAUUGAGCUUCACAAAUUAGAAAGUGGCUUUUAGAAAAGAUCUAGAGCAGUGAAAAUACCCAUUUCCACCAUCAGGGCAAUAAUUAAGAAGUUCCAAUCAACAGAAAAUAUUAUGAAUCUGCCUGUAAGAGAACGUGUCUAAUGCAUGGUGAGUAGUAGAGUUUGAGUGGCCGAAGACUAUUCAAGGAUCACAGCUGGAGAAUUGUAGAAGUUUGAGUCUCGGGGUCAGAAAUCAUUUAAAAAAAAAUUAUUAAAUAGCACCUACAUCACUAUAUGUAGUUUGAAAGGGGUUCAAGAACAAAAUCAAGAAAAAAAUAAUACUUUCAAAAACAAAAAACAAUCUCCAGCAUAUUUAGUCAUCAGACAUGACUGGAACUUCAAACAGGACUAGCUUCUAUGGUUAAAUUAAUCUAAAACAUUUGCAUUUUAGCAGCCACUCCUUAAGAUGGG